CCGUGAAAUUUUUAAUUUAUUAUGUAACCCAUUAGGCCAUACCAUUUAUCUCUCCAUGCCCAUGGAGGCAGAGCUCCUAAAUGAAAUCACGACGUAAGCCGCAAUUCGAGUUGAAUACUACGGUAGAAAUUUUCUUCACUUCGCGGUUCCAAGUGUAAAUAUUUUGGCAAGAGAUAAGGAGCCCCUAUUUCACCCGAUCCGGUCCCAACUUGGUCUCCGUGGCCUAGGCCAAUGCUAUGGCUCUCCUGGCUCUCCAAAUGAGCCAAAAUAAUUUAAACUCGCUUUUUUAUCACAUAGUAAACUAAUUACUAAUUGAAAUGAUUGAAAAAUAUCAGUAUCCAAGCAAAGAAAUAAUUGUAAGAAAUUAGAAUAAUUUUGAUACAUUUCUUUGUAGAACGCAUGGUUACAGCUUACAUAGACUUACAUUGGACCUUGUGUGUGAUAAAUACUACAGAAAACAUGUAAGUUGUAUUAUCAAAUACGAUGAAUAUUAGCGAAAGUUUAAAAAACCGAGUUGAG